rfam:Spinacia oleracea cultivar SynViroflay scaffold29197.1, whole genome shotgun sequence.
UUGUGAUGCCAUGAUGACAAAUGUCUAAUCCCAGCUCUUUGAGAUCUUUUGUAGAUCCGGGAAAAUACGUAUGUUCAUUUUGUCUGAGCUUUGAA